CUUUGGCCUGCAGUCGAGAGAUGCACAGUGCAAAUUUUUAUUUGUUUUGCAGGUUCAUCCAUAAGGUUCAUGGAUAGCAUCUGAUGGAUAUUCUCAUAUUUCUAUAAAUGGAUAUCAUCGAUCCCAUCCAUAAGGCUUACUGGUUUCGGUUCAGAUAGAAGGGCAAUGAAGGUUGUUUUUUCUGGAGAAUUGAGUUAGGAUAUUCUGCACACGUACUAUCGAGUUCCGACCAAGGGUUGUAUUUUCUACUGGCGAUGAGUUGGUUCGGCCAGCCACUCCAAACUCUAAAUCAUGGUCAGGUUAUUUCUACUAUUCCACACCGUUUGAAUCCUUUCCCCUUCUUUCUGUUCUGUGUGAGCAGAGUCAUGGCGAGCUGCACCAACUCGAUGGGCGUGGCGAUGGAUGUCUUUUGAGAUUUUACUACUGCAUUUGUAGCAAAUUGUUAAUUGGACGAUUGAUGAUUGUUUCAUGGGAAAGUUGCUAUAGGUUGUUUGAGACAUGCAUCAGAUUAUAGCUUAGACUUUGUAUGGUGUCAUUUCCAAUUUUGAGACACACGCGUAGGUGCAAUUGUGCAGAUUUGUUUUCAUUUCUGAAA